UACGGGGGGAGCAAGCGUUGUUCGGAUUCAUUGGGCGUAAAGGGUGCGUAGGUGGCGCCGUAAGUCGGGUGUGAAAUUUCGAGGCUUAACCUCGAAACUGCAUUCGAUACUGCGGUGCUUGAGGACUGGAGAGGAGACUGGAAUUCAUGGUGUAGCAGUGAAAUGCGUAGAGAUCAUGAGGAAGACCAGUGGCGAAGGCGGGUCUCUGGACAGUUCCUGACACUGAGGCACGAAGGCCAGGGGAGCAAACGGG
rnacentral:rRNA from 1 species